rnacentral:rRNA from 2 species
AGCGAAAUGCGAUACUUGGUGUGAAUUGCAGAAUCCCGUGAACCAUCGAGUCUUUGAACGCAAGUUGCGCCUGAAGCCAUUAGGCYAAGGGCACGUCUGCCUGGGCGUCACGC